UACGGAGGGUGCAAGCGUUGCUCGGAAUCAUUGGGCGUAAAGCGUACGCAGGCUGUUCGUUAAGUCGGGUGUGAAAGCCCGGGGCUCAACCCCGGAAAUGCGCCCGAAACUGGCGGGCUUGAGUGCGGGAGAGGGAAGCGGAAUUCCUGGUGUAGAGGUGAAAUUCGUAGAUAUCAGGAGGAACACCGGUGGCGAAGGCGGCAUCCUGGACCGACACUGACGCUGAGGAGCGAAAGCCAGGGGAGCAAACGGG
rnacentral:rRNA from 1 species